UAGGGAAUCUUCCACAAUGGGCGAAAGCCUGAUGGAGCAACGCCGCGUGUGUGAUGAAGGGUUUCGGCUCGUAAAACACUGUUGUAAGAGAAGAAUGACAUUGAGAGUAACUGUUCAAUGUGUGACGGUAUCUUACCAGAAAGGAACGGCUAAAUACGUACAG
rnacentral:rRNA from 1 species